UACUUUGGUCCAUUCACCUAGGCCACAUCAAGUGUGGUUGUUAACAUUCUAAUUUUAUUAAUUAUGGGGCUAAUUAGAAAAGGUUAUGAGAAAUAAGAGUAGUAGUAUGAUAGGUGUAAUGAAGAUUCUUUUGAACUUUUAAAAUUAGGGAGUAUUGUUUGUCCGAAUUGAAUUUGACUUGGACAGAAAAAAAAGGGGCCAUCCCACAAAAGAUGAGGUUUAGGUGCAAAAUUGAUAGCAGACAGACCUUUAGCUGAUACAAAUAUAUUGAAAAGAGUUGAUUUUUUGAGUGAGCAAUGACGGUAUUGGUAAAAAGGCAAGUUCAGCCAGAAUAUGAUUCACUUUAAUUCAUCGAAGGAUAGUAAUAAUA
rnacentral:lncRNA from 1 species